rnacentral:piRNA from 1 species
UGUGAUUUGUAUGUGGUGUCUGUACUGGC